CUACGGGGUGCUGCAGUGAGGAAUAUUGCACAAUGGGGGGAACCCUGAUGCAGCAACGCCGCGUGGAGGAUGACGCAUUUCGGUGUGUAAACUCCUUUUAUAUGUCAAGAAAAUGACGGUAGCAUAUGAAUAAGCACCGGCUAACUCCGUGCCAGCAGCCGCGGUAAUACGGAGGGUGCAAGCGUUACUCGGAAUCACUGGGCGUAAAGGACGCGUAGGCGGGUUGGAAAGUCAGGUGUGAAAUCCUACAGCUUAACUGUAGAACUGCACUUGAAACUUCUAAUCUAGAGUAUGGGAGGGGGAGGUGAAUUAGUGGUGUAGGGGUAAAAUCCGUAGAUAUCACUAGGAAUACCUAAGGCGAAGGCGAUCUCCUGGAACAUUACUGACGCUAAGGCGUGAAAGCGUGGGGAGCAAACAGGAUUAGAUACCCGGGUAGUC
rnacentral:rRNA from 1 species